AUGCCUUGCAGGGAGCUCAUUCAUGCGUUUGUUUCUCAAGUGCUGCAAUGCAUGAUUGCAAAAAGGGUUAGGAGUAUUCAAACAAGAGCCAUGCUUGGGCAUCCUCACCGAUCCCCCAUGUUCUACAUCUUCUUCCCAUGGAUCUUAUUCUCUUGCCUUAUCCCUCCUUUAAGCUACGCUUGCAACAUACCUGAUCGGAACUCUCUCUUGUCCAUCUCCCUCAGCUUCACUCCUCCUCUAAAUUGGCCUUGUAAUGUCAAUUGCUGCCUCUGGGAAGGGAUUGCAUGCGAUCAUAACGGUUGGGUCACCCAUGUUUGGCUCCCCUCUAGAGGCCUCAGCGGUGGCAUCCCUCCAUCUUUAAGAAACCUUACACAACUUUCUCACCUUAAUCUUUCCCACAAUACCCUUACUGGACCACUUCCAGAUGAUUUCUUUUCAUCAUUAAAUCACCUCAAGAUCCUUGAUCUCAGCUUCAACAGGCUGCAAUGAGAAUUACCGUCGCUUCUUACAUCAAAUGGCUCACCCAUCUCCCUCCAAAUGUUGAAUUUGUCCAGCAAUUACUUUCAAGGGUCAUUAUUCCAAUCUCCAUUUCUUCAGAGAGCAUGGAAUUUGUCAAGUCUUAAUGUUAGCAACAACGGCUUCGUUGGCCGUAUCCCUUCCUCUAUUUGUAACAAUUCCAGCCUUGUUAGGCUCUUGGAUUUCUCUUACAAUCAUUUCAGUGGCCAAAUCCCUCAUGAACUAGGGAAAUGCUCCAAGCUUGAGGUUUUUCGUGCAGGUUUCAACUCGUUAGUUGGACUGCUUCCAGCUGACAUUUAUCACAUGUCAGCAUUGCGAGAAAUUAGUUUACCUUCCAAUCAUCUCUCGGGACCGAUUGGCAGCGACAUCGUUCAGCUCGUUAACCUCACCAUCAUUGAGCUCAACAACAAUGAACUGAAUGGCAUGCUCCCUCAAAAUAUCGGGAAGCUUUCUAACUUGGAACACCUGAUCCUCCAAAUGAACAAUUUAAGCGGUACAAUUCCUGCUUCCUUGUUGAAUUGCACCAAUUUGAAAAGACUGAGUUUGCUGUCCAACAAGUUAGGAGGUGAUAUCUCCACUUUUAAUUUCUCCAAGCUUUCCAAACUUGUCAUUGUUGACCUUGGCUUUAAUCACUUCAUAGGUCAAUUGCCAGUAAGCCUUUACGCAUGCAAGUCCCUGAAAACAAUUAGACUUGCCUUUAACAUGCUAGAAGGACAGAUCACACCUGAAAUUCUUGCUUUGCAAUCUCUUUCACUCCUUUCCCUUUCUGGAAUUAAGUUAACCAACAUCUCAGGGGCAAUCAAAAUUCUAAUGGGUCUGCACAACCUUAGGGUCCUCUCGCUUGCCAAAUGCUUUGUAAAUGAGAUAAUGCCAGAUGAUAACAGCUUGGUUGAUUCAGUUGGAUUUCAAAAUCUUCAAUAUUUGAGUAUAGGCUUCUGCCAACUCGUUGGACCAGUGCCAACAUGGUUGUCAAAGCUUAGAAAACUAGAGAUUCUCAUACUAAAGAGGAACCAAAUUAGAGGUCCAAUUCCUAGUUUCUUAGGGGCUUUGCCCAGACUCUUCCACAUUGACUUGUCAAGAAAUUUCAUUUCUGGAGAAUUUCCACUGGAACUUACUAGACUGCCUGCAUUAACAACUAAGCAGGCUUCUGAACAACUUGAUCAAAUUUCUCUCGAUGUGCCUCUGAUUUUUGGCAUCAAAUCACCUUCACAAAGUGGUAUUAGACAAUACAAUAAAAUCUCAAACAUGGGAAAAGUAAUUGAUGUGAGUAACAACAGCUUGAGUGGCAAUAUUCCUAUUGAGAUUGGUCAAUUGAAGUUUCUUCAAUACUUGAAUCUCUCUCAAAACAACUUCUCUGGCAACAUUCCACAUCAACUAUCCGACCUUUAUAACUUAGAACAACUAGACCUCUCCAAAAACAAUCUUUCUGGUGAGAUUCCACAAUCGUUAAAAGGUCUCAAUUUUUUGUCCAUGUUUAAGGUCUCAUACAACAAUCUUCAAGGAGCAAUACCAUUGGGCACUCAACUUCAAAGCUUUAAUGCUUCUGCAUACGAGGGGAAUCCUAAACUUUGUGGUCCCCCACUACCAUACCAAUGCCAAGUUGUCGGUGUCGAAGAAGAUGGGAGCAUUCAAGAUGAGGAAGAUGGGCAUGAAAUUCCAUGGUUUUAUGUGAGUAUGACGCUCGGAUUCAUCACAGGGUUUUGGGCAAUUUGCGGUAGUUUAUUCUUGAAACCUUCUUGGAGGUAUGCCUAUUUCCAAUUUUUGAUAAAUACAAAAGAUCGAUUUUGUGCGACGCUAGCUGUUUGCAAGGCUAGAGUUUGGAGCAUGAUUCAAACUUAAGUGGUAAUAGUCCCUUUUUUUUUUUUGGCCUCCCUCUCUUCCUAUUUUGUAUUUUCUUAAGUGGUAAUAGUCCUUGGUUCUAUGUGAGUAUGGCACUUGGAUUCAUCACAGGGUUUUGGGCAAUCUGUGGCACUUUGUUCUUGAAUCCUUCUUGGAGAAAUGCCUACUUCCAAUUUUUGACAGAUACAAAAAACUGAUUUUGUGUGACACUAGCUGCUUGCAAGGUUAGAGUUUGGAGCAGGAUUCAAACUUAAGCGAAUACUAGUUUGGUACGUGAUGAAACAAAAGACGCAUACCCAGCUAUAAAGGCAACAAGUUGAUCUCUACCCACCAUGAGGAUCAAGUAGCCCUAUUACUAGAGUGCAACAACAAAGUGCUAGAGGACAAAGGGACCAGCAUAUCAAGAUUAAUUAAAGAGCCUUUAUUUUUUGUCUUUCUUUUAAUAAGCAAAUUAAAUAAAGAUGAAAUUUUUAAAACAAUUCUCUUUGGUUUUUUGGUUCAAAAUUAGGUCAAAUUUUGUACGUAGAACAAAUUGUGGUAUUGUACGAGGUAUUUUUGCUUUUCUCUCGUUUCUUUCUUUGUUCAUGGUUCGAUAUUCUAGUGUCCUCUCCUUCAAGGACUUGAGAAUGAAGACUGAAAUUAUGUUUCA